rnacentral:rRNA from 1 species
UAGGGAAUCUUCCACAAUGGGCGAAAGCCUGAUGGAGCAACGCCGCGUGUGUGAUGAAGGGUUUCGGCUACGUACACUGUUGUAAGAGAAGAAUGACAUUGAGAGUAACUGUUCAAUGUGUGACGGUAUCUUACCAGAAAGGAACGGCUAAAUACGUGCCAC